rnacentral:lncRNA from 1 species
GUCUCCUGAGCAGACGGGCGAGGCUGAGUGUGGGGACGCACAGGGUGACCGGUAGAUCACAAGCUGUGUCCCUAAGCCACUUUUUGUCCCCAGUGGCCGAAGGUUAGGAUGUGGGCUGAUGUCUGGCGCGUGGGAACAAGGCUGAGGUCACGGUGGAAUUCAGGUCCUUUUCACGCUGUUGGGUGACGUGUCCUAUUUGGAGAACAUGACCUGGUGGGACCUUUGGGACCGCCCACGAGUAACCCCUCGAGGAGCGUGGGCUCAGGUAUCCAAUCCAGGUGCGUCUUCCAUUCCCCUGCACCCGGGGAUUUGAAAGGCCAUUGCCUCCUGUUUUCUCCUGCAGUCACUAAACCUAAGGCCCUGCGACAGGGUCCCCCAGCGACGUUUAUGGUAAUUCACCACUGUACCAAGACGGCGUCCUGGGAAGCCUCUGGGUCAGACCGUGCCGGCCAAGUCCCGUGCAUUUUCCUGCCAUUUUUCAUUGACCAGCGUUUUCCUGCCUCCGGUGGCAUGUUUUUUCAUCACUGAACAUAUUUAGAAAUGACCUUCAAGGUGUGCUUCGAGCUGCCUGCUCGGCACCCCGCGCCAGCGCCUUUCAAAAUAAAUCCCAGUAUCGCGGACACCGGCGUGAGCGGGCAUCUGUUCCUAAGCCACACUGGGAGUUUCUCCGUCUGAGCCCAGAUUCCACACCCCUGACAUCCUGUCCUUGGCAGCCAGGUGCCAGGACUUUGACCCGUCGCGGUUCCUCAGCAGCAGGUGGUUUUGAAAGCAGGAUUUUCACCCUCCUUCCCCACAACGCGGCCUCUGCCUACGUCCAUCCUGCGGUCCCACCAGCGGGGCAGCCUCUGUGAAGGUGGAUGAAUUUCCCAAACCAGGACACAGCCCAGGGCUAAGUUCCUGCCUGGCGGCUGCCUCACCCCAGCAGAUGCCAGCCACUUGGGCACCAAACCACGCGAGGUGCUUUCAGGAUGCACAACUCAUUUUUGCAACACGUGCCAUUCACACCGGCAGGGGUUCUCUGUGGGCUUGCUCUGAGAUCCUUAUUUUAUUAAUUUUUUUAUUGAAACGUAGUUGAUUUACAAUGUUGUGCUAGUUUCGGGUGUACAGCAAAGUGAUUCAGUUAUAAAUUAUCUAUCUCUCUAUCUCUCUAUGUAUCUACCCAUCCAUCUAUGUAUCUAUGUAUCUAUUUAUCAUCUGUGUAUCUAUGUAUCCAUCUAUCUAGGUCUCUGUUUAUGUCUCCGUCUAUCUAUCAUCUGUCUGUGUAUCAAUCUAUGUAUCUAUGUAUCUGUGUAGCUGUCUGUCUAUCAUCUCUGUAUGUAUCUUUGUAUCUAUGUAUCUCAUAUAUCUAUGUAUCUAUCUAUAUUUAUAUGUGUGUGUAUGUUUGUAUCUAUAUGUAUACACACACAUAUCACAAGUUUGUUUUCUGUGUCUAAGAGUCUCUUUCUGUUUUGUGUGUCAGUUCAUUUAAGGAAUUCUCUGGUGACCUAGCAGUUAAGGAUUCAGCGUGGUCAGUGGUUCGAUCUCUGGCCUGGAAAUCUCUAUAUGCUAUGGGCGUGGCCAAAAAAUAAGUUCAUUGGUGCCAUAUUUUAGAUUCCACAUGGCAGUGAUAUCAUAAUGGUGUUUGUCUCUGUCUGAUUGACUUCACUUAGUAUGAGAAUCUCUAGGUCCAUCCAUGUUGCUGUAUGUUCUUUUUUACGGCUGAGUAGUAUUCCGUUGUGUAUAUGGACCACAUCUUCUUUAUCUGUUCCUUUGUCGAUGGACAUUUAGGUUCUUUCCAUGUCUUGGCUGUUGUGCUGCAGUGAACAUAGAGGUGCAUGGAUCUUCUCAAGCCAUGGUUUUCUCUGGAUAGAUGCCCAGGCGUGGGAUGCUGGGUCCUAGGGUCGUUCUAUGUUUAGUUGUUGAAGGACCCUCCAUCCUACUGAGGUCCUGAUUUUAACUUGGAGAUUGGCUUUGCGAAUCUGGCCAGCUGGAUUUUCUCUUCAUGUCUCCUCACGUCACUGAGAGCUUCCCUGUGUAGAGGUUCAUUGGAUUAGAAACAGGGUCAAGAUAAGGACACACCUGUUAUGAACUGGACAUGUACGUCUCAGCGCCCCCCCCCCCCCCCCCCCCGGGGCCCUGACUCCAAACAGGUGGUAGGAGGUGGGGCUUUGGGGAGGUGAUGAGAUUUGGAUGAGGUUAGAAGGAUGAGGCCCUGUUGAUGGGACUCGUGUCCCUCUAAGAAAAGGAACAGGAGUUCCUCUUGUGGUUCAGCGGGUUAAGCAUCUGACUAGUAUCCAUGAGGACGCAGGUUCGAUCCUUGGCCUUGCUCAGUGGGUUAAGUAUCCGGCGUUGCCAUUAGCUGUGGUGUAGGUUGCAGAUGUGGCUCAGAUCCUGCGUUGCUGUGGCUGUGGUGUAGACCGGCGGCUACAGCUCUGAUUUGACCCCUAGCCUGGGUACCUCCAGAUGCCACAGGAGUGGCCCAAGAAAUG